CUUUUAAUUGAAGCCAUCUCAUGAUUUAGAUUAAAAAGUAAAUAUUAUCCUCACAUUGGCUAAUAUUUUAACUUACCAAUUUGUCACAUAUAUACAUACAUACUUUAAUAAAUAUCUAUAUGAUUAAGUAAAAAUAGGCAAAAGUAGAUAAAAAUAGAUUAAUUUUAUAAUAUCUUCUAGAAAAUCUUUUUAGAAGCUUCAUAGAUGCUACUUUGAUUUUACAUAUAUUUGUAGUUCAUUGCUAGGUUAGAAAUUUUGUCAACAAAUUAACUAAGUUGUUGUAAUACGUGAAGUCUUGCUUGAGAAUGCUUCGGGCAUCUAACUGUGGAAGGUAGAAUGGAAAUUGCAACAACAAAAUCCCAACUAUAAUAGAAUACUAACUAAACUCUAAUUAGAUCAUAAUAAUGCUAAGCAAGCUUUAAUCGAAUUCAAAGAAACCUCAAAGAAAUUUCAAAGAAACAAUAAGAAAUCUUAAAAAAAUAUAAGAAUGAUCACAAAUAUAUCUCAAAUACCUCUCAAUUCAAUCUUAAUUUAAUCCUAGUUAAAAUCCUAUUAGACUUCAUUCAAACUUUAGGCCAAAACUAACUAAAUCUUAAAUCCUAAAAAAAUCCUAAUAAAAUCCUAAAUCCUAAAUCAAAUCCAAAAAAACUCUAAAUCAAACUCCAACCAAAUCUUAAACCAAAUCCUAAACCAAAUCCCAACCAAACCCUAAAUCCUAAAUCAAAUCCUAAAUCCUAAAUCAAAUUCCAACCAAACCCUAAAUCCUAAAUCAAAUCCUAAAUCCUAAAUCAAAUUCUAAAAAAAUCCUAAACCAAAUCUUAACCAAAUCCUAAAAUAAACCCUAAACCCUAAAUCAAAUCUUAACCAAACCCUAAUCCUAAAUCAAAUCCUAACCAAAUUCUAAAUCCUAAAUCAAACUCUAAAUCAAACCCUAAACCCUAAAUCAAAUCCUAAUCAAAUCUUAAAUCUUAAAUCAAAACCUAAACCAAAUCCUAACCAAACUUUAAACCCUAAAUCAAAUCCUAAUCAAAUCCUAAAUGAAACCUUAAUCAAAUUCUAAAC
rnacentral:lncRNA from 1 species